rnacentral:tRNA from 1 species
AACCGGGUGCCCGAGUGGUGAGGGAGCGGUUUGCGAAAUCGCGUACGCCGGCUUCGAUUCCGGUCACGG